rnacentral:rRNA from 1 species
CUCGGCGAUCAUAGCGCAGGGGGCACACCCGAUCCCAUUCCGAACUCGGUAGUUAAGCCCUGCAGCGCCAAUGGUACUGCCUUGGUAACGGGGUGGGAGAGUAGGACAUCGCCGGGG